CUUCAUCUUCUUCUGCUCAUCAGAGGGCGGGUCGCGGUGGCAACAGGCUGAGCAGAGUAUUCCAGACAUCCCUCUCCCCGGCAGCGUUUUCCAGCUCCUCCUGAGGGAUUCCAAGGCGUUCCCAGGCCAGAUGAGAGGAACUUCUUCCUCCCGGAGAGAGUGAAGGGACACGCGGCUAUCACACUUCCUCCCUCAGUGCGGAUGAAUGUGUUUGCAUUGGCGAGUCCGGUGUUUCCAUCACAAAGUGCUGUUAAUAAGAUGAAGAGUGAAUACUGAUGAUCGGUACUGUCUUCAGUAGAGCACAUACUACAGCAUAGCAAAAGUCAUUGCAGAAGCUGAUGCGAAGAGUCAGCAGAGUCACCUCCACCAUCAGUUCCCCUCUUUGUCUUCCAUUUGUAAAGCGACAGAAGAAAAACCGCUGACAGCACAACACCAACCACCAUCACACACACGCCUGCAACCACAGGGUAAACUGAGUGAGACAAAGGAGAGAGAGAGGGAGGGAUGGAGUUGUGUAAAUCUAACUUUGGUCUGAUUAAAUAAAAAACUGAGAGCUUUUGGAAAUACUGGUAAAAUGCUUCUUGACUUGUCACAUUAACAUCAUAUAUUUAACUUAAUUUUUUUUGCAAAGAUUUGUCUCUGAAAAUAAGUGUCUCUGCAGAAGGACCCCAAACUGACAACA